rnacentral:lncRNA from 1 species
AGUGAUCCUCCUGCCUCAGCCUCCCAAAGUGUUGGGAUUACAGAUCUAGUGGUAUCUACAAAUAAUCUUCAGGAAGCAAGAUGGCCAAAUAGCACCCUCCAGCAAUUGUCCCCACUGUAGGAACACCAAAUUUGAACAACUAUCCACAAAAGAAAGCAUCUAUAAGACCCCAAAAUCAGGGAGAAGAACAUAAUAUAGCGCUCAUCGUUUCAUUUCUCUACCCACGAUCUUGCAAUGUUUUUCCUCUGCCAACAAGGAAAGAAAAUGGAGCUAUUCCUUUACUGAGCACCUACUAUGUGUCUGAUAGGUGCUUUCCCGUAAGUUAUUCUUUUACUCUUUAAAGCAGGGGUGUGUAAUCUUUUGUCUUCCCUAGGCCAUAUUGGAAGAAGAAGAAUUGUCUUGGGCCACACAUAAAAUACACUAACACUAACGAUAGCUGAUGAGCUG